CUGUUUAAGCCUGCUUACCCUACGUUCCUGGCAGCCAGUUAAUUCAUUAUUGGAGCUGCAAACAUCAGCCGUCCGAUCCAGUGAUCCAACGUGCUCAGAUUUGGUCAUCAUGAAGCCAUGAACAGAGCUGGCGCCUCUGGUGCAGGAUCCUGACGACCUGCGUCUCUGAAGGGGGAGAAGGGCUUCUUUUCUCAGAUCUUCUUGAAGACUUGUGAAAAAUGAAGCCGCCUUUGGAAAGGAACCCAUCCAGGAAGCGCCAUUCAUGGUGGUGGGAUAGUCACAUUAGCCCCAAGAACUCAAAAUGGCUUGCAGAAAACCUCGAAGAAAUGGAUAAGCAAGUGAAGGAAAUGGUGCAGCUUAUUGAGGAAGAUGGCGACUCCUUUGCAAAGAAAGCUCAAAUGUAUUAUCAGAGGCGCCCAGUCCUCGUUACCCAUGUCGAGAACUUCUACCGGAUGUACCGCGCUUUAGCUGAGCGCUACGACAAUGUUACCGGUGAACUGCGCAAGAACAUCCCUUCAAGGAUGCAGUCCCAAGGAUCUUUAUCCGGUUCUGAGUUCGGUUCAGAGCUGCAAAGGUCGCCCACACCAUCUCCUGAGCCCCAGAAGUCCUGGACAAGGGAGCAGAGCCCUAGAGCCGCCGGUUUCAAUUUCUUUCUGAGUAACAAGAGCAAUGACUCACCGUCCUCAAGGAAGGAGCCUGGGUCAGCUUCACAGUCAGAAUCUGACAUGAAGUCUGAAGAUGGUGAGGAUGAUGGCAUUACCUACACAUUGCACCAGAGAGUUCUCGAGCUCGAGGAUGAUCUCAAUGCGGCAAACCGGAAGCUGCUUGACGCAAACGAAAAGCUCGAGGUUUUCGAGGAGAGGAUCCUGAGGUGCCAUUGCGAUUAUAAGGAAAAUGGAAAUGGCGCCGAUCAUGCUACCAAAAUUAGAGACAUUGAUGGAGAGUUCGUGUCAACUAAGGAGAAGCUACAAUCUUCACAAGUGGAGAUCAACAAUCUUGAAAGGAGGCUCGAAGACGCUGCAAUUUUGUCAGAAGAGCACUCCAGGCUGCUGGAACAAAACAAGGGACUGGAAGCUGAAAUUGUGAGUCUGAAGGAAGAGAUGACUUCAGCUAGACGGCGUUUCAACGACAAAAUAUCCGAGAGUGAUGCCGAGAUCAGCCAGUACAGGCAAGAGCUUGCCACCGCGUCCGAGAAGCUGUUGCAGGAGAAGUCCACCAACAGCACAGAGGUAGGAAAGCUGCAAGAAAUGAACCGGAUCACCAGUCUCAAGCUGGAGAAAGUUUCUGAAGAGAAGUCUCUAGUGGAGGACCAGGUGAAGGAGCUGGAGGAGGCGAACGCCGAAGCCGAAAGGCAGAGGCAGGAGCUCGUCCAUGCCGCCGAAAUGCUGUCGGAGGACAAGUUCAGACAUGAAGCUGAGAUCCUGACGAUGCAGCAGAGCAUCGAGGACCUGAAGCCGAAACUUGAGAGCAUCGCAAGAGAGAAAUCGCUGCUGAAACUCUGGUUCGCGGAUCUGGAGCGCGUCGUGGAGCGAGGAAGGAGCGUUGUCAUUCCCCCGGAAUAACCCGGUUUCGUCUGGAAAAUUCAGUAGCUAGAAUUUAGCAAACUAGCAGUGCUAUCUCUUUGUUUUUUUGGCCUGAGAUGUAACAUCAUACGGAACUGUGAAACCCUACCGUGGACAUCAGCUUUUCCUUUUCUUGGAUUAUUUCUUGCACUGUGAGGUGAUGGGUGGUGGUCGUGGUGUAUGAAACAUUUGCACUGAAUGCAUUUCCUUUGGCAAUAAAAUGUCUCUGAUGAGCUCAUUUGGAGGC
rnacentral:rRNA from 1 species